AGGCAGAGUAUGUAUGGUACAGAACGCUAUGAGAUUGGGCAGCAAUUUCGAAAAAUUCCCUGAAGUUGACUGAUGACAGGACAUGGAUGUCUGAAGUCUGAACUGCCUGGCCAGGACUAGGAAGAGAUGUCAGGAAAGGAGAAGUGAGGGUCCUUCUGUGAUUCUUCUCUCCCUCUCUCCUGUUGGUGCCUUCUUUUGGGGGUGAUGGUCUGCAGGGACAAGCUCCUUCUUUUCUUUUCAAAUGUUUUGUUCUUUAAAAGUUUUGUUUACCAUCAUUAGAAAUAUCUAUGGAACGUAAAGAAAACGUGUAAUGCUAAGGCAGGAAGGACCUAUUGUCCUGGGAUCCCGGGAGGACAGAGAACGCUGCUACUUACUUCUGCUUAGUGUUUCUUAUAGGAGAUGUAGUUAAGGUCUCAGCUCCAGUGUCGCCAAGGGAGGAUUUUCUGUCCCUCGGCUCGAAGGUUAGCCAGCCCCUGAUCUCAGUCACCCUCCAUGACAUCACCCUUCAUUGUUUUCCUCACAGCAUUUAUCAUUGUCUAAACUGAUAUUGUGUUUUUAAUUUUUUGUUUAUCAUCUACCUCCUCCCCUAAAAUAGAAACACCGUAAGUUCAAGGCUGGCAUCUAUCCUGUUCACCCUGAGUCCCUAGUUUGUAUAAUAGUGUAUUAUAUCAUGGGCACUCGAUGGCUGAAAGAUGAAUGUUUGAAUAGAUUGAGUGAUAACAAGAGCUAAGACUUCCAUAGUUCUUAUCCUGUUCCAGGUACUUCUUCAAGCACUUUAAACAUCAAUUUAUUUCACCUUUCUGAUAAACACAUGAGGUAGGCACUAGGAUGGUUCUUAUUUACAGAUUAGUAAACUAAGGCACAGAGAAGCAAAACAAUUUGUCUAAGGUCACACAGUAAUAAAUGCUAGAAUGACAAUUCAAACAGACUGGUUGGAUAUAUAAUAUGUGCUUUUAUCCACUCUAUAGGAUGCGUUUUUAUUCCAAAACAAAUACUGGUGAUACCAAAACAAGGCUCUUUUACAACAAAAUUAUUUCCUACAAAUGAGAACCUUGAUCAGUUUAAACCAAGGAUUCAAUCAUUCGUGUGUGUGUGUGUGUGUGUGUGUGUGUGUGUGUGUGUGUAAUGAAAUAUAGAAAAUCAAACACUGAAUAUUCUCUCAGCUAGAACUCUUGGGUUAUCAAGAGUUACCUCUACUUCUGCCUAUAUCUCAUUCAGAGAAAAAGCACUCUGGAGAAUACCUGAAGAAGUAAAGAAGGUGUUUCUUCUAUCUACAAAUUCCAUUUCUAACCUGUGCAAGGUGCUCACACAGUGGUCAGGCCAAGCUGAGAAUGAUGAGUUGUGGACUUACCAGCCAUCCUUUUGAUUGGCUGGUUACUUUGUGUCUGAACACUCUGAAGCUACCAGCCAUGACAGUAGUGGGGGUGGGGUUCAUGGUAGAGUUGAGAAGGAGGAUUAUAGAUGUGUGAACUCCAUGAGCAUCUCCAAAGACAUAAAGACAGAGGUAGUGGUCCUACAUCUGUCUUUGAGUCCCCUUGGGCAUACAUCUUCAAACCUAAAGGAUAAUGAUCUAGCCUGUCUCCAGUUAUUGGGCAGCACAGAAUUCGUGCUGCCUAUAAAGUGAGACCAAAUCUCUAAAUCACUGUUAUCUGUAGCCAGGAGUCUGCCUCUUAAAGAGAGUGAAAAGAAAAUCAAUGUGUCUGAAACUUUAGCCUGUCUUCUUGGCUAUCUGAUCAGUUAAGAUUCCCAGAAUAAAAAGUAAGAUGGAGAUAAUUGAUAACCAUUUUCAGCCUCCUCUGUUUCUCAGAAGUUGACAGUGUUUCCUAAGUGUGAUCCUGGUCUUUCCCAUUAUACCCUUGUAAAAUGGCAGGCAAAUUUCCACACAAAUUUCAUCUGAGCUUUAAUCUGCCCAUGCAGCCUGUCUGUGAACAGCAACUGGCAUGUCUUGACUCCAAAAGAAGUUUCUUCUUUAAAAAAAUAUUUUCACCCAGAGCUUCAGUUAUGUCACUUCCCUUUCAGACCAGUUGAACAGAUUAAUGCGUGCUCAUGGAUUAAAUUAAACUGAUAUUUUUUAAUGGGAAGGGUAAAUGAUGUCUAUGCAUGUCUAUCAUGUGCUUUACUCUUAAUGAAAAAUAUUUUAAAAUGUAUAUUGUUACAUCAUUUUGAAAUUUUUUUUAAAAAAUUAUGAUGAGCUGCAUAUCAUGAAACUGUUUUCAUCCUGCCAUUCAUUGCUCAAAAACCUUAGAUGGCCACAAUUUCUCAUGUGCCUGACUUCUAAGAGCCUUACAAGCCCUCCCCUGUGUAUCAUGCCUUGUUGCUUGGGUUGUCAAAAUUGUAAUCCCAAAAACAUUUAGUCUUUACUGAAGCUCUAGAUGUGAGGCAUUGAAGAGAACCAUUUUCUCUUUUUUCCGUGGGCCGCAUUCAUACCUACCCAUUU